rnacentral:pre_miRNA from 1 species
AAAGUACUUCCUCCGUCCCAAAAUUCUUGUCUUAGAUUUGUCUAGAUACGGAUGUAUCAAGUCACAUUUUAGUAUUAGAUACAUCCGUAUCUAGACAAAUCUAAGACAAGAAAUUUGGGACAAAGGGAGUAGUUG